rnacentral:rRNA from 1 species
GAUAAACGCUGGCGGCGUGCAUGAGACAUGCAAGUCGAACGAAGGAUCGGGCUUGCUCGAUCCUUAGUGGCGGACGGCUGAGUAACGCGUAGGUGACCUACCCCGAAGUGGGGAAUAACUGCCCGAAAGGGUGGCUAAUACCGCAUGUGGUCGCACGUUCAUUCGUGCGAGUAAAGCCGCAAGGCGCUUCGGGAGGGGCCUGCGUCCGAUUAGCUCGUUGGUGGGGUAAUGGCUUACCAAGGCGACGAUCGGUAGGUGGUCUGAGAGGACGAUCACCCAGACUGGGACUGAGACACGGCCCAGACUCCUACGGGAGGCAGCAGUCGGGAAUUUUGCCCAAUGGGGGAAACCCUGAAGCAGCAACGCCGCGUGAGGGAUGAAGGCCUUCGGGUUGUAAACCUCUUUUGUCAGGGACGAUGAUGACGGUACCUGGCGAAUAAGCCACGGCUAACUACGUG